AUGACCAGAAAGGAGAGCAAUGCAACUUCCCAGCAGCUGGCAAAUGCGAUUAUGAUACCAGCAAAGAAAGUGGAGAAGCUUGUGACGAAAUGACCGAGCUGCAGAAAAUUGAGCUCAGUGGUUAAGUCAGUGUCAAAGGCCCCAACCUCUUGAUUGAGUACUGAUCUCAGAAACGCUAGCCGCAUGCGUGCUAACUGUCUUUCACUUGAGUAUAUCCAGCAGGAGAUCUCUGCAUGUGGAUGUUAAGAGGAAAGGUUGCCGUUUGGAGUUGGGAGGCACACUGACAGCUCGUUGGUUCUCCAGGUGGUUUUUGACAAUCUUUGUCGACGCUGUGAAGGAGGUCUCCAAAAAAACAGAGCCAAUUUGGUUUAUUCCCAGAAUUUUGAGCGAAAAGCUCCCAGAUUUGCAGCUUGGAAGAAAUUUGGAUUUUUCUCCAGGCUCUGAUAGCCAAUCAACUGGAAGCCACAAAGAAAACAUUUCUUGACUGAAGCACCAGCAUAUGCAUAUGCUACUUCAGUUUUCGUCUUUCUGUUGUUGUUCUCAUUAGCAACGUUCAUGCAGUCAUGCACACAAAGAAAAUCACAAAUGGAUGAUGACUGGCUCAAACUCUUAUUAAAAAUUCUGAAUUGAUGUCUCAUGUGUCUGCCCUCCAAUAUUCAGUCUGGCAUCUUGGAAGCUUUUGAGGAUUAUGUUGUGCUAUUGAGUGCUUUCAUUUCCUCAGAGUGACAUGUUUGUCCUGAAAUUGUAUCCUUGCAGAUGUCAGUUCUUUUAAAAUAAUACUCU